rnacentral:rRNA from 1 species
UACGAAGGGGGCUAGCGUUGCUCGGAAUCACUGGGCGUAAAGGGUGCGUAGGCGGGUUUUUAAGUCAGAGGUGAAAUCCUGGAGCUCAACUCCAGAACUGCCUUUGAUACUGAAAGUCUUGAGUAUGGGAGAGGUGAGUGGAACUGCGAGUGUAGAGGUGAAAUUCGUAGAUAUUCGCAAGAACACCGGUGGCGAAGGCGGCCAACUGGACCAUUACUGACGCUGAGGCGCGAAAGCGUGGGGAGCAAACAGG